ACAUCCAGCGAACUUGGCAGAGAUGCCUUGGUGCCUUCGGGAACGCUGAGACAGGUGCUGCAUGGCUGUCGUCAGCUCGUGUUGUGAAAUGUUGGUUAAGUCCCGCAACGAGCGCAACCCUUUAUCCUUUGUUGCCAGCGAUUCGGUCGGGAACUCAAAGGAGACUGCCGGUGAUAAACCGGAGGAAGGUGGGGAUGACGUCAAGUCAUCAUGGCCCUUACGAGUAGGGCUACACACGUGCUACAAUGGCGCAUACAAAGAGAAGCGACCUCGCGAGAGCAAGCGGACCUCAUAAAGUGCGUCGUAGUCCGGAUCGGAGUCUGCAACUCGACUCCGUGAAGUCGGAAUCGCUAGUAAUCGUGGAUCAGAAUGCCACGGUGAAUACGUUCCCGGGCCUUGUACACACCGCCCGUCACACCAUGGGAGUGGGUUGCAAAAGAAGUAGGUAGCUUAACCUUCGGGAGGGCGCUUACCACUUUGUGAUUCAUGACUGGGGUGAAGUCGUAACAAGGUAAGCGUAGCGAG
rnacentral:rRNA from 1 species